rnacentral:rRNA from 1 species
AAUCAACGCUGGCGGCGUGCCUAACACAUGCAAGUCGAACGCGAAAGUCCCGCAAGGGAUUAGUAGAGUGGCAAACGGGUGAGUAACACGUGGGUGACCUGCCUUCGAGUGGGGGAUAACGUCCCGAAAGGGACGCUAAUACCGCAUAACAUCCUGCCUUUGAAGAGGUGGAGAUCAAAGCUGGGGACCGCAAGGCCUGGCGCUGGAAGAGGGGCCCGCGUCUGAUUAGCUAGUUGGGAGGUAACGGCUCACCAAGGCAACGAUCAGUAUCCGGCCUGAGAGGGCGGACGGACACACUGGGACUGAGACACGGCCCAGACUCCUACGGGAGCAGCAGUGGGGAAUUGUUCGCAAUGGGCGCAAGCCUGACGACGCAACGCCGCGUGGAGGAUG